rnacentral:rRNA from 1 species
CAAUAGCGUAUACUAAUGUUGUUGCAGUUAAAAAGCUCGUAGUUGAACUUCUGGUAGGAGUGUCCCGGCCCUUUUGUUUUUACAAAUUGUAUGCUGUGUGACAUCUCUGGCCAUCCUUCUUCUUUGUUUAAAGAAGAUCUUUCACUGUAAAAAAAUUAGGGUGUUCAAAGCAAAAGUUUCUUUGGAAUAUAUUAGUAUGGGAUGAUAAGAUAGGCUCUAGAUGCUAUUUUGUUGGUUUGCACAUUUAGAGAAUGAUUAACAGGGACAGUUGGGGGUAUUCGUAUUUACAUGUCAGAGGUGAAAUUCUUGGAUUUUGGAAAGACGAACUACUGCGAAAGCAUUUACCAAGGAUGUUUUCAUUAA